GUUUUAGUCACAUGAAGGAGCACAUGGGCAUCUGGAUAAAAGGAGAAGUGAAACGUUUCCUGGCUUCACCACCCACCUCACACAAACUCUGUAAUUCUCUAAAACACAGUAGUUCUGUCUCAGCUGUCAACACUGCCAUAAGACGGCUUCUUCGUAACGAUGAGACACGUGACAGCGGCACUGUGUGACGCUCCUGGAUGAGAAUGCAUUUUUUCGGUAUUCGCAGUUGCAGCUUGGCACAUGAAAGAUGGCCCAUCACCUAAAGAAAAGCGGAAAAAAGUACGAUUUGAUUAAUGUGGGUUUUGGCUCGUCUGGACAGAAACAUCAGCAAGGACACUGUGGACGUAAAAUGCUUCUGCUGCUGCUGCUGUGAUGGUGGUGUUGCAGACCCCCCAUGCAGGCCAGAUCUUUCUGCAGCUUCUGCACCGACACAUGAUCUGACUAGGAAGGAUGCAAAGGUGGAAGCAGACCGUGCUGGAUUUAGUUUCACAGCAUCUUACUGGAGCAAACGCACACAACAUACUGCAAGGUUUUCAGUAGUAUCUACUUCCCCCUUUUUUUUUCUUUUUUUUGUUUGAGAGGACACGGAUACACCCUGACUGGGCCCCUGUAGUGCUCUACAUUGUGGUUGGGAAGUACCUAGUUUUACAACUGUCAUGCUGGCCUGCUUAAAGGGACAGUGCUGAUCAAUUCGAAGCACAUAUUCAGGGGUCUUUUAGUCACCCUAACAAGGGGGUCACAUGGAUGUUUGAGUCGUCAUUCCUCAUGUGAGGAAUGUGCAGUCCGAAGAGCCGCUUUCUGCAUCAAGCACUGCAUAAAAAUACUGAUUGAUAUUUGUUAAAAGAAUGUCUUUAAUAAAAAGUUGAAUUGAAUUGGGUGUGAGAGUUUCCUGCUUUUGAAAAACGAAAGAGAGAAGACUCACAACUCUACAGGUUCUUUUUAGUCUGAAUGCAUAGUGGAUUUGUUUU
ensembl:lncRNA